rnacentral:rRNA from 1 species
UCCCUCAGCCAUAUCACCCUGUAGCCCAAGACUGGUUGCCCACUGGAGCUUAGCAGGCUUGAACCUGGGUAAUACCGGGAUGGGAGAUCUCCUGGGAAAACUAGGUUGCUGCUGGAA